AACGAACGCUGGCGGCAGGCUUAACACAUGCAAGUCGAACGCCCGUAGCAAUACGGGAGUGGCGGACGGGUGAGUAACGCGUGGGAACGUGCCCUGAGGUACGGAAUAACUGAGGGAAAUUUCAGCUAAUACCGUAUGAGCCCCGCAAGGGGGAAAGAUUUAUCGCCUUAGGAGCGGCCCGCGUCGGAUUAGCUAGUUGGUGGGGUAACGGCUUACCAAGGCUUCGAUCCGUAGCUGGUCUGAGAGGACGAUCAGCCACACUGGGACUGAGACACGGCCCAGACUCCUACGGGAGGCAGCAGUGGGGAAUCUUGCGCAAUGGGGGCAACCCUGACGCAGCCAUGCCGCGUGAAUGAUGAAGGCCUUAGGGUUGUAAAGUUCUUUUGCCCGUGACGAUGAUGACGGUAACGGGAGAAUAAGCUCCGGCUAACUUCGUGCCAGCCGCCGCGGUAACAC
rnacentral:rRNA from 1 species